rnacentral:rRNA from 1 species
UAGAUGCGAGAGUAGAGCAUAUCAAUAAGCGGAGGAAAAGAAACUAACAAGGAUUCCCCUAGUAACGGCGAGUGAAGCGGGAAGAGCUCAAAUUUGAAAUCUUCAAGGUUCUACCUUGACGAAUUGUAGUUUAUAGAAGUGUUUUCUGUUAGUAGAGUGGCAAAAGUUCUUUGGAAUAGGACAUCAUAGAGGGUGAGAAUCCCGUAUUUGGUCAUUCUUUCUAGCUUUGUGAUACACUUUCAACGAGUCGGAUUGUUUGGGAAUGCAGUCCAAAAUGGGUGGUAAAUUUCAUCUAAAGCUAAAUAUUGGCGAGAGACCGAUAGCGAACAAGUACCGUGAGGGAAAGAUGAAAAGAACUUUGAAAAGAGAGCUAAGCAGUACGUGAAAUUGUCAAAAGGGAAGCGUUUGACACCAGUGUUGUUUUUCCGAAAAUCAAUUACGAAUGUUUUGUUUUUGAGAAGUUAUGACUUCAUCGGCUUGCUUCUCUCUUUACGAAACUUUCUUAAUGCACUUUUCGGUUAACAAGUCAACAUCAAUUUCUUUUGUUGUAAAAGGGUAUGAGGAAGGUGGCUUUCUUUUCGGAGAAAGUGUUUAUAGCCUUGUGCCUCUGCAAUCGGAGAGAUUGAGGUCUGCAGCGUAGAUCCUUCGGGGUUAGAUACAUUUGUGCUAAGUUAUAGCUUUUCAUAGACAACUUGUUGACUAUGUUAAGUCUUGUAAUUUACUCGCAGAUGCUAUUUUACCUACGCUUAGGAUGUUGACACACGCGCGUGCUC